CCUACGGGAGGCAGCAGGGAAUCUUCGGCAAUGGACGAAAGUCUGACCGAGCAACGCCGCGUGAGUGAAGAAGGUUUUCGGAUCGUAAAACUCUGUUGUUAGAGAAGAACAAGUAGGAGAGUAACUGCUCUUACCUUGACGGUAUCUAACCAGAAAGCCACGGCUAACUACGUGCCAGCAGCCGCGGUAAUACGUAGGUGGCAAGCGUUGUCCGGAUUUAUUGGGCGUAAAGCGAGCGCAGGCGGUCUUUUAAGUCUGAUGUGAAAGCCCACGGCUCAACCGUGGAGGGUCAUUGGAAACUGGGGGACUUGAGUGCAGAAGAGGAGAGCGGAAUUCCACGUGUAGCGGUGAAAUGCGUAGAGAUGUGGAGGAACACCAGUGGCGAAGGCGGCUCUCUGGUCUGUGACUGACGCUGAGGCGCGAAAGCGUGGGGAGCAAACAGGAUUAGAUACCCGGGUAGUC
rnacentral:rRNA from 1 species